CACGGGGGGAGCAAGCGUUGUUCGGAAUCACUGGGCGUAAAGGGCGUGUAGGCGGUCAGGUAAGUGAGAUGUGAAAUGCCCCGGCUCACCCGGGGACCGGCAUCUCAUACUGCUUGGCUUGAGUACGGGAGAGGAUGGUGGAAUUCCUGGUGUAGCGGUGAAAUGCGUAGAUAUCAGGAGGAACACCAAUAGCGAAGGCAGCUCGCUGGGACGUUACUGACACUGAGGCGCGAAAGCGUGGGGAGCAAACAGG
rnacentral:rRNA from 1 species